AGGAAUCCAGUGUUAAGGUAGAGGAGCAGAGUGACAUGAACGCCUGCAUUAAAUCCCUUUUAUACACAGACCGUGACCUUACAGUGACUCCCAUCAUGGAUAACCCAAAGAUUUUAAAGACUUCUCCAGUUCGUUUUGACCCCAAAACGCUUUGCAUAUCAGCACAUUCAGUAUUAUGGAGCAGUUGAAAGUUUGCACUAGGCCAUCUAAUGGGGGAAGUUGAACAAUAGUGUGUCCGCUGAGGAAUGGGUGUCUGCUGCCGUCCUCGCCUCUGUCUGAAAAUGAGCUUCCUCUUCCUUGGCUUUCAUGAAUGGAAACUGUAUUCAGUGGAAAUUGAUAUAGAAUGUGUGGAGUUUCAGUGGCACCUAAAGGUUGUGUAUUUAUACUAAAACUUUAAGCCAGUGUUAAUUCAGAUAAAUAAUAAAAUAUAAUUUGAGUGCA